UCAGGGUUUUCAGGGACAACAACCCCCACA
rnacentral:piRNA from 1 species